UCGCCUCUUGCAAAAUUAAUGUAUAAGAGGUCCCGCCUGCCCAGUGACACUCAGUUCAACGGCCGCGGUAUUUUGACCGUGCUAAGGUAGCGUAAUCACUUGUCUUUUAAAUGAAGACCUGUAUGAAUGGCAUAACGAGGGCUUAACUGUCUCCUUCUUCCAGUCAAUGAAAUUGAUUUCCCCGUGCAGAAGCGGGGAUUCCUCCAUAAGACGAGAAGACCCUAUGAAGCUUUAGGUACAAAGGCAGCCCCUGUCCAUCACCCCUAAUAAAGGACUAAACCUUAAGGAGCCUGCUCUAUUACCUUCGGUUGGGGCGACCCUGGGGUACGACAAAACCCCCAUGCGGAAUGGGAGCAUCAUCCCCACCCCCUCUUCACCUCCUACAAACCUGAGCAACAACUCCAGUUAACAGAAAUUCUGACCCCCUCGAUCCGGCACUGCCGAUUAACGAACCAAGUUACUCUAGGGAUAACAGCGCAAUCCUCUUUUAGAGCCCAUAUCGACAAGGGGGUUUACGACCUCGAUGUUGGAUCAGGACAUCCUAAUGGUGCAGCCGCUAU
rnacentral:rRNA from 1 species